AGUGAACGCUGGCGGUAGGCCUAACACAUGCAAGUCGAACGGCAGCACAGAGGAGCUUGCUCCUUGGGUGGCGAGUGGCGGACGGGUGAGGAAUACAUCGGAAUCUACUCUGUCGUGGGGGAUAACGUAGGGAAACUUACGCUAAUACCGCAUACGACCUACGGGUGAAAGCAGGGGACCUUCGGGCCUUGCGCGAUUGAAUGAGCCGAUGUCGGAUUAGCUAGUUGGCGGGGGAAAGGCCCACCAAAGCGACGAUCCGUAGCUGGUCUGAGAGGACGAUCAGCUACACUGGAACUGAGACACGGUCCAGACUCCUACGGGAGGCAGCGGGGAGGAAUAUUGGACAAUGGGCGCAAGCCUGAGCCAGCCAUACCGCGUGGGUGAAGAAGGCCUUCGGGUUGUAAAGCCCUUUUGUUGGGAAAGAAAUCCAGCUGGCUAAUACCCGGUUGAGAUGACGGUACCCAAAGAAUAAGCACCGGCUAACUUCGUGCCAGCCGCCGCCGUAA
rnacentral:rRNA from 1 species